rnacentral:rRNA from 1 species
GACGAACGCUGGCGGCGUGCUUAACACAUGCAAGUCGAACGGUGAACCUCUUCGGAGGGGAUCAGUGGCGAACGGGUGAGUAACACGUGGGCAACCUGACCCCGGCUCUGGGAUAACUAUAAGUACUUGGGGCUAAUACCGGAUGUUCACAGCUUCCCGCAUGGGUGGUGGUGAAAAGGGUGGGCGGCUGGGGAUGGGCGCGCGGCCUAUCAGAUUGUUGGUGGGGUAGUGGCUUACCAAGGCGAUGACGGGUAGCCGGCCUGAGAGGGUGACCGGCCACAUUGGGACUGAGAUACGGCCCAGACUCCUACGGGAGGCAGCAGUGGGGAAUAUUGCGCAAUGGGCGGAAGCCUGACGCAGCAACGCCGCGUGGGGGAUGACGGCCUUCGGGUUGUAAACCGCUUUCGGCAGGGACGAAGCGCAAGUGACGGUACCUGCAGAAGAAGCACCGGCCAACUACGCG